rnacentral:rRNA from 1 species
UACGUAGGGGGCAAGCGUUAUCCGGAAUUAUUGGGCGUAAAGAGCUCGUAGGCGGUCUGUCGCGUCGGCUGUGAAAACUCGGGGCUCAACCCCGAGCCUGCAGUCGAUACGGGCAGACUAGAGUGCUGUAGGGGAGACUGGAAUUCCUGGUGUAGCGGUGAAAUGCGCAGAUAUCAGGAGGAACACCGGUGGCGAAGGCGGGUCUCUGGGCAGUAACUGACGCUGAGGAGCGAAAGCGUGGGGAGCAAACAGG